rnacentral:lncRNA from 1 species
UUGUUUUGAAUUUUGGAGACUGCAAUAUCCUAACCAAUGUAGAUAAAUGUUGAGACAGCAGAUUCGCGUAUGAGUUUCAUGAGAGCACGAUGAGCACAGGUCGACAAAGGGGACACACACCCUCACUCAAGUGGAAUUGAAUUCCACAGAUAUUCCUAAUCUCACCAAUGUAGGUGAUGUAAGGUCACUGUGACCAUGGUGGUUCAAGGUCAAGGAUAUUUUCUCAUCUUCCAUUUCCUUCCGCCGUGACCGAAAAAAGCAUGUUACGGAUAACUCGUGGGUACCAAAUCUGCGAAUAUUCGUAGGAAAAGAGAAACCGAUGAAUUGGGAAGAUAAAGAUUCUGAAAAAGAAAAGGACAGGAGGAAGAUCAAGAGGAAGAAGAAAAGAAUCGAAUUCGCUAUGCCAACUGGACUACUCACUUUCUCUCCCUUUGGCGUAUGAUCCGCGGAUGGCCAAUUUUGCAGAAUAUCCGUGGGUCAGUGGGUGGAUACAAAGUUUGAAGUGAACCAAUCUGCCAAUCAUCUCCACGCGUGAGCGCGAGACACUGACGAGGAGAAUCCACGGCCAGCAUGCAGUGCUGUGGACUGUGGAGACGUGAAGGCCGGACGCGUCGUGGUUGGAAACUUUAGCUUCAGAAGAUGCGUUCACGCGUAUUGUGAAUGGGUCUCCUCUUUUUCCAAAAAGCAUGCCAGGUCAGGAUAGGUGCGUGGUGCUCAGCUGAGCUCCACUUGGUGAUCCUAUUGUUAAAAUGGUCAUCACCACCUAGAAUGCACUUGUCACUGAAGGGCGGACGCCACUGUAAUGCUUUUAAAGAUACUUGUUACCAGCUUAUUAUCCGACGUCGAAGAAGAAGAUUCAGAGAAAGCAACAUUAGCAAAGUUGAUCUGUUUUGUAAAUUGUGGCUUAAAAUCCAAACUAUUAACAUACCAUGAGAACUUUAAGCCUAGCACAUACCUGCAUGACAAAUAUCCAAUCAAAC